UGAGGAAUAUUGGUCAAUGGGCGAAAGCCUGAACCAGCCAUGCCGCGUGAAGGAAUAAGGCCCUAUGGGUCGUAAACUUCUUUUGUAUCGGAGCAAUAAGGGUCACGAGUGAUCCGAUGAGAUUACGAUACGAAUAAGCAUCGGCUAACUCCGUGCCAGCAGCCGCGGUAAUACGGAGGAUGCAAGCGUUAUCCGGAUUUAUUGGGUUUAAAGGGAGCGUAGGCCGGAGAUUAAGCGUGUUGUGAAAUGUAGUGGCUCAACCUCUGCACUGCAGCGCGAACUGGUCUUCUUGAGUACGCACAACGUGGGCGGAAUUCGUGGUGUAGCGGUGAAAUGCUUAGAUAUCACGAAGAACUCCGAUUGCGAAGG
rnacentral:rRNA from 1 species